rnacentral:rRNA from 1 species
GACGAACGCUGGCGGCGUGCUUAACACAUGCAAGUCGAACGAUGAAGCCGGAGCUUGCUCUGGUGAAUUAGUGGCGAACGGGUGAGUAACACGUGAGUAACCUGCCCUUGACUCUGGGAUAACUGCGGGAAACUGUAGCUACUACCGGAUACGACCCUCGGAGGCAUCUCCAGGGGGUGGAAAGAAUUUCGGGCAAGGAUGGACGCGCGGCCUAUCGGCUAGUUGGGAGGGGAAAGGCUCACCAAGGGGACGGCGGGUAGCCGGCCUGAGAGGGUGGCCGGCGACACUGGGACUGAGACACGGCCCAGACGCCUACGGGAGGCAGCAGUGGGGAAUAUUGCACAAUGGGGGCAAGCCUGAUGCAGCAACGCCGCGUGAGGGAUGACGGCCUUCGGGUUGUAAACCUCUUUUAGCAGGGAAGAAGCGAAAGUGACGGUACCUGCAGAAAAAGCACCGGCUAACUACGUGCCAGCAGCCGCCGUAA